GACUCAUAGAGUAUGUAGACUGGGUGGCUGAGCUCAGAGGAACACCCUAUAUCCCACUGCCUUCUUACCUCCCUAACCAGAAGCCGCCCCACAAGCGAGUGAGAGACAGCUGGAGGAAGAUGUGGGCCGGAACUCGCCUUUAUAUGAUUACUGAGGAGAAGCAGACCACCUCCCUGUACUGAUCAUCGCUGCCCCCAAAUAAUGGCUGUGUCUGUUACUGACCACAGCAGUGCCCUUUGACCCUUAGUUUCUACUAUCAUCAUAGUGUCCACCA